GGAAUAGGGCUGAGGAAGAGAUACAGUAUCAGACCAUCUUCUUGGUGUCUUUCAAAAGGAAGUACGGUAUGGAAGGAAGCAAAACCAGUCCAAGAGUAGAGAUUUGGCCUUCGUCACUGCCUGGUGAUCUUGGUCUCUCAGGGGGAAGGACUUGAAAGAGCAACAUGAGCAGAAAGUGUGUGAGAGGGAGAUGCAACGAAUCACCCUGCCCCUGUCUGCCUUCACCAACCCCACCUGUGAGAUCAUGGACGAAAAGACCAUCAUUGUGCACAGCAACCAGACUCCUGCUGAUGUGCAGGAGGGCAGCACCCUCCUCACUGACCAGGCUGGCACCCCCGGGGCCUGAGCCCCUGCAGUGGGCAGGUGCCCACAUAGACACUGGUACAGGACAAGCCACCCUCCUGCAGUUGGGAGGAGCUACAUUUUGUGUUGUGGUUAAAACCUUAUCCCAUUUUUCUUUCGGGGGGAAUGUGACUCCUCAUGACACAAGAAGCAGCAGGUAGCAUCAAGGGCGAGGCUGGGGAGGGUCCUAUCAAUGCUCCUUUUCUAUCCCUUAGAGCAGGAUUUGCCUGCGGAGAGAGACUGGCACAGCGGCCACAGUGGUGCUGUGGCAAAUAAGGGCUUCCACAUUGCCUGGGCCAGGGAGACAGGGAGCUCGCUAAGGCUCCUCUGUGCUAUAAACUGAAGGUGGUCUCAGUCUCUGCCUUUGCCAUCCAGGAACUUGAGUGGCAUAUA
rnacentral:lncRNA from 1 species